rnacentral:rRNA from 1 species
UACGAAGGGGGCUAGCGUUGCUCGGAAUCACUGGGCGUAAAGCGCACGUAGGCGGCUUUUUAAGUCAGGGGUGAAAUCCUGGAGCUCAACUCCAGAACUGCCUUUGAUACUGAGAAGCUUGAGUCCGGGAGAGGUGAGUGGAACUGCGAGUGUAGAGGUGAAAUUCGUAGAUAUUCGCAAGAACACCAGUGGCGAAGGCGGCUCACUGGACCGGUACUGACGCUGAGGCGCGAAAGCGUGGGGAGCAAACAGG